AGAGUCUCUGCUAGAGCAGCAAAUAAGCUUAUGUUAUUUGGGGGACAUGGAACUGGUUAAUGGCUGAGUCGUUAUGAUGUCUAUUAUGAUGACACUAAAAUUUUGGACAAAGUCUGCAGGUCAGUCCGCAAACCCAUAGAAUAUAGGCGG